UGUAUGAAAUGGGGAUGGGGGUACCGGGAAUCAAACUCAUGAGUUUGCACUUGCCAGGUGUAUGAUCUUUUAGAUGUUGUGUUGUAUUGUUUGACACUAUCUUGUUAUAGAUUUUUACCUCCAUACUUAUUAAAAGAGAUUAGGCUCUAGCUCUCUAGCCUUGUCUGGUUUUGGAAUCAGUAUUAACGUUAGCUUCCAGGAAUGACUUUGAGAGUAUUCCUUCUCUUUCAGUUUCAUUAACGAGCUUGAGAAGUACUGAUGUUAGAUACUCCCUGAAAUUUUUAUAGAAUUCAGCAGUGAAUCCAUCCAGACCUAGGCUUUUCAUAUUUGGAAGGCUUUUUAUUAUUGCUUCUACUUCACUGCCUGCUACUGCAUCAUUCAGGGCUUUUAUAUCUUCUUAGUUCAGUUUUGGUAAUUCAUAUACAUUAACAAUCAAUUCAUUUCUUUUGAAUCCUCCAAUUUACUGGCAUACAGUUUUGUGAAGUAAUUCUGAAUUUUGGCAUCAUUCAUUGUAAUUUCAUCUUUUUCAUUUCUAAUUGCGCUGAGUUUGACCUUUUUGAUAAGACUGGCUAAGAGUUUGUCUGUUUUGUUUAUUCUUUGAAGGAACCAUAUGUUUGAUGCAUUGAUUCUUUGCUUUUUUUUUUUUUUGUCUCAAUCUUAUCGAUUUCUGCUGAUACUUAUAAUUUCCUCCCUGUAUUUGCCUUGGGUUUGCACUGUUCUUGUUUUUCUGGAACUUUCAGGUGCAUCAUUUGCUUAUCUGGUCUUGCUCUAUUUUUGUGACACAGGCAUUCACAGCUAGAAACUUCAUUUUUUUUUACUGUGUCCCAUAAAUUCUGGUAUGUUGUACUACCAUUAUUAUUUAGUUCUAGAAACUCUCUUCUUUCUCUCUUGAUUUAUCCUGUAAUCCAUUGUUUACUUAAGAAUGUAUUGUUUAACUUCCGCAUUUUCAUAGUAUCUGUGUUUUCUUUUGUCAUUGAUUUCUAGUUUCAUUGUGCUAUCACCUGAUAACAUGUAUGGUAGAAUUCCAAUUCUUUUGCAUUUACUUGAGCAUGCUUUAUCAUUUUGACAUAUAUUUUAAUCUAAAUAAUUUUUUCAAAUUCCCAAGAUCUACCUAUCAAGUAUUCACAGAAACUUAUGCUUACUAUAAAAAUAAUAUAUAAGUAUAAAACAAAAUUCAGUUUAAAAAUAUAUUACUUCUUCUAAAACCCUCUCUGAUGUCAUAAAAAAUACCUUCAGGCGCAUUAUUUGCUCAUUUGUGGUAGGGGUACAUACUGUCAACUUUCAGAGAUCAGCAAGAUCUGAGCCUAAGUCAUCCAAAACAGUAGAUGGCCAAAGUUGACUCCAAGAAUAAGCAAAUAGGAGAAAGAUAUGAGGAACACAAAAAAAAGUUCAGACAGGCAGAUCUGUGCUCUCUGGAAUACCCAGGUAUCUAAUACCAUCAUUCAGUGAAAAAGUGCUCAGAUACGGGUGAGGAAUGGAUGGUGUUAAAACCCAUAUCCUUUGGCAAAACACUGGUGCUUGGAAACGUAUACCCAGUGAUGGCACCUCUUACAUAUGCUAUAGUUUUUCAACCCUUGCAAAAGAAAAGAGAGCGAGAGCCCUUAUUUACACUCUGGAAGGCUGAAACAGGAAAACUGCAACUGUGAGCCCUGUUUGAGGCACGGAGCAAUUCAGUGAGACCUUACCUUAACAUAUAAAAGGGCUGGGAAUAUAGCUCAGUGCAAAUGCCCAGGAUUCAGUCCCUCAAACCAAACCAAAACCAAUCACUUAUUGAAUAAAAGAAAGUUGCUGAAGAAAGCAGUCAUGGAUGUGGCCACUAUACAGCAAUUAUGUUUACUAACAGAGGGAGAAUGUUUCAGCAGCCAAUAAAAUAUUU